rnacentral:lncRNA from 1 species
CCAAUAUAGAAUGUUUAUUGUACCAUAUCCCCUCUUCAUUCUAGCCCUGACAUCUUCCAGGAAAAAAAAAGUGCAACAUAUCAGCUUGAUGACAAAUGAGAAUGCCUCCCUUUGAAGUUUCUGAAAAUAAUGUGAAAGAUUAGGAAAACAGUACUGCCUCCCACUACAUUCUGUGUUUUCUUCCUCUCUUCUGCUGCAAGAGAUAUUGGAGGAAAAUGUGCAAUGACCAAGAUUUGUACUGGCUAACAGGAAAUGGGAUAUGGAUUUGUUUUACUAUUUCUCCACUGACAUCAGAGAUUAUGACAACAAACAUGGCCAGCCAUGGAUCAGAACGAUGGAGCACUUCAGAUCCAGGGCCUUUCUUGAGUUUUCUAGAGCAUGGAAGAUUGGCAUUCUGAAACACAAUGAGUCAAAAAUGUCAGUACUGAAGAUAUAUAUGUAUCAAAAGCUGCUGAAAAUAACUUCUAAAGACAUGGAUAAUUUUACUCUAUCUUGCUCACCUAGAAACACUGCGCACACUUUUGUUUUUGUAGUAACAUUUAAAGGACAUAUUUAAAAAGUUGAACAAAAAGUUUGAUAUCAGCACAGAAGCUGACUAUUUCUUCUAUUUCAGUUAGCCACAUGAACAAAUUCAAUUUUUAAACCCUCUCAUUCUCUGCAUUCUCCUUCUAAAGCAAUCACCACAUUUAUUCCUUACCAUUACACAGCGCUUUUUCUCUAACCCACUUGAAGGUUAUAGACCCAGCACUUGCCUAAAAGACGGAAAAAUCCAUCUGAUGUAUAUGGUAUUACUCUGUCCUUUACGUACCUAUUAUAGACUUCUUUGAUGUGGCUUUUUGUUCAGUAUUAGUGACCAUAUGAUUCUAUGGGUAUAACCUCAUUUGACCCUUGAUGCACUGACUCAAAAUAAGUUCAGAAAAAUCAUAAUUGUAAGAAAACUCAUUGAAUUCUGAAUGUGACAUGUUCACGCAUGUGAUUAUGAACAUAAGAAUCCUAAAGUAGUGACUAUGCUUCAAUAUAUG